rnacentral:rRNA from 1 species
CCAGACUCCUACGGGAGGCAGCAGUGGGGAAUAUUGGGCAAUGGGCGCAAGCCUGACCCAGCAACGCCGCGUGAAGGAAGAAGGCUUUCGGGUUGUAAACUUCUUUUGACAGGGAAGAGCAGAAGACGGUACCUGUCGAAUAAGCCACGGCUAACUACGUGCCAGCAGCCGCGGUAAUACGUAGGUGGCAAGCGUUAUCCGGAUUUACUGGGUGUAAAGGGCGUGUAGGCGGGAAAGCAAGUCAGAUGUGAAAACCAUGGGCUCAACCUGUGGCCUGCAUUUGAAACUGUUUUUCUUGAGUACUGGAGAGGCAGACGGAAUUCCUAGUGUAGCGGUGAAAUGCGUAGAUAUACGGAGGAACACCAGUGGCGAAGGCGGAUUGCUGGACAGUAACUGACGCUGAGGCGCGAAAGCGUGGGGAGCAACCAGGAUUAGAUACCCCGGUAGC